UAUUGGUCAAUGGGCUGGAGCCUGAACCAGCCAAGUCGCGUGAGGGGAGACGGUCCUACGGAUUGUAAACCUCUUUUGCCGGGGAGCAACGGGGUCCUUGCGAGGGCCCAAUGUGAGUACCAGGAGAAAACGCAUCGGCUAACUCCGUGCCAGCAGCCGCGGUAAUACGGAGGAUGCGAGCGUUAUCCGGAUUUAUUGGGUUUAAAGGGUGCGUAGGCGGGCUGUUAAGUCAGCGGUCAAAUGUCGGGGCUCAACCCCGGCCUGCCGUUGAAACUGGCGGCCUCGAGUGGGCGAGAAGUAUGCGGAAUGCGUGGUGUAGCGGUGAAAUGCAUAGAUAUCACGCAGAACCCCGAUUGCGAAGGCAGCGUACCGGCGCCCUACUGACGCUGAAGCACGAAAGCGUGGGUAUCGAACAG
rnacentral:rRNA from 1 species